GGCUUCGUUGCUCGGCCUGUAGAGUGCCUGCCGCGUUGAGGCAUCGUGUUUCUGUCGCUGGUUCGAAUCCAGCAGAAGCCC